UGGGGAAUAUUGGACAAUGGGCGAAAGCCUGAUCCAGCCAUGCCGCGUGUGUGAAGAAGGUCUUCGGAUUGUAAAGCACUUUAAGUUGGGAGGAAGGGUUGUAGAUUAAUACUCUGCAAUUUUGACGUUACCGACAGAAUAAGCACCGGCUAACUCUGUGCCAGCAGCCGCGGUAAUACAGAGGGUGCAAGCGUUAAUCGGAAUUACUGGGCGUAAAGCGCGCGUAGGUGGUCAGUUAAGUUGGAUGUGAAAUCCCCGGGCUCAACCUGGGAACUGCAUUCAAAACUGACUGACUAGAGUAUGGUAGAGGGUGGUGGAAUUUCCUGUGUAGCGGUGAAAUGCGUAGAUAUAGGAAGGAACACCAGUGGCGAAGGCGACCACGUGGACUGAUACUGACACUGAGGUGCGAAAGCGUGGGGAGCAAACA
rnacentral:rRNA from 1 species